GAUGAAGAACGCAGCGAAAUGCGAUACUUGGUGUGAAUUGCAGAAUCCCGUGAACCAUCGAGUCUUUGAACGCAAGUUGCGCCCGAAGCCAUUAGGCCGAGGGCACGCCUGCCUGGGCGUCACACGUCGUUGCCCCCCCAUCUACUCCUUCGGGAUUGCGGGGGGCGGAUGAUGGCCUCCCGUGCGCCUCGUCGCGCGGUUGGCCUAAAUGCCAAGUCCUCGGCGACGCACGCCACGACAAUCGGUGGUUGCGAAACCUCGGUUGCCUGUCGUGUGCGGUCGUCGCGCAUCGAGGGCUCGAAAAAAUUGCCGGGCUUCGGCUCGACUUUCAACGCGACCCCAGGUCAGGCGGGGUUACCCGCUGAAUUUAAGCAUAUCAAUAACGGAGGA
rnacentral:misc_RNA from 1 species